UUUAUGGGUUCCAUCAUCAAACCUGGUCCUGCGACACAGAUGAUCACACAGCAGGUAAUUGCUAUAAAUCGUUGAAAAGUUCCCUCGACUAUCUUUCGUCUUCAUCAUCAGACUGUAAUGGCACUUGUAACUCAUAUAUGUGCAAAGUUCUCAUCAAUAGAAACGAAUUAAGUUCAAAAAGCAGGUAAUUGCUAUAAAUUGUUGAAGAGUUCCCUCGACUAUCUUUCUUCUCCAUCAUCAGAUCGACUCCAGACCUUUAUUAAAUAGUAGUGCUUUAUAGUACUUAAUGAAAACAUGAUUAAAUUUACUAGUCACCCUUACGAUUUUUGAAAGUUUCCCUCGAUUUCUCUGGGAUCCCAUCAUCAGAUCCUGGUUUCCUUAUCGUUGUACCAAACUAUGAAUAUCUCCUUUCCAACAAAAAAAAGAAUUAUCAAAAUCGGUUCAUAAACGAAGAAGUUAUCUCCGAACAUACAUA
rnacentral:misc_RNA from 1 species